UACGUAGGGGGCAAGCGUUGUCCGGAUUUAUUGGGCGUAAAGAGCGUGUAGGCGGCUAGGUAGGUCCGUUGUGAAAACUCGAGGCUCAACCUCGAGACGUCGAUGGAAACCAUCUAGCUAGAGUCCGGAGAGGAGAGUGGAAUUCCUGGUGUAGCGGUGAAAUGCGCAGAUAUCAGGAAGAACACCCGUGGCGAAGGCGGCUCUCUGGUACGUGACUGACGCUGAGACGCGAAAGCGUGGGGAGCAAACAGG
rnacentral:rRNA from 1 species